GAUGAACGCUGGCGGCGUGCUUAACACAUGCAAGUCGAACGAUGAAGCCCAGCUUGCUGGGUGGAUUAGUGGCGAACGGGUGAGUAACACGUGAGUAACCUGCCCUUAACUCUGGGAUAAGCCUGGGAAACUGGGUCUAAUACCGGAUAGGAGCGUCCACCGCAUGGUGGGUGUUGGAAAGAUUUAUCGGUUUUGGAUGGACUCGCGGCCUAUCAGCUUGUCGGUGAGGUAAUGGCUCACCAAGGCGACGACGGGUAGCCGGCCUGAGAGGGUGACCGGCCACACUGGGACUGAGACACGGCCCAGACUCCUACGGGAGGCAGCAGUGGGGAAUAUUGCACAAUGGGCGAAAGCCUGAUGCAGCGACGCCGCGUGAGGGAUGACGGCCUUCGGGUUGUAAACCUCUUUCAGUAGGGAAGAAGCGAAAGUGACGGUACCUGCAGAAGAAGCACCGGCUAACUACGUG
rnacentral:rRNA from 1 species